rnacentral:rRNA from 1 species
GGGUGCGAUCAUACCAGGGUUAAUGCACCGGAUCCCAUGAGAGUUCCGUAGUGAGGCGCGCUUGGGCUAGAGUAGUACUGGGAUGGGUGACCUCCCGGGAAGUCCUAGUGUUGCACCCU